CUCCGGAGGAAAGCGGGGCUCGGCUCUUUUUAGGGCCUACCCCUGUUUUCCGGGGAAUCUAGGGACUGCGCAAUCCACCCACCCCAAACCCCACCGCCAUCGCGCCUGGGGGGAGGGGAUGAUCGGCUCAAUUUUGUAUUCAAUCGAUUUGAGGAAAGUGGACCUGACUGGUUUCCCAUCAUGGCUCCCUCUUCAGCCCGAACAAAUCCUUCAUCUUCUCUUUCGCCAUGACAAAACGGAGUACAUAAGGAGCGCCCCUACCGGCUCAGGCUGAAGAUCAUUCUAGUCCACCAUCCUGCGUCCUUCAAAGUCUCACUAGAUGCCUGCUUGAGGGUUGUCACUUUUCCCUUUGUUGCAGGCAACCCACGGCUUCCACACUGGGAAGGAGCUGGUGGCCCAUCUAGCAAACAGCCAUUAGCCUUAUUCUCUGCUAAGAAGGCUGCAGAUACGACUCGUUCAAAGUCCACAGCAUAAGCCCUCGCCGCCCUGUUUGAUGAACCUUUUUGGGUUUUCGUAGUAGAUUUUCUUUGUGUGCCUUGUGAGAAGGCUUGACUUCCUUUUCCACGCAGGACCUAGUGAUGUCCAAGGAAGCAGUUGUGGAUUUCACCUAGGUGGAGUGGAUGUUGCUGGUUCCUGACCAGAGAAUCCUACACAGGGAAGCGAUGGAGGAGAAAUGUGGGAUCGUGGCCUCUCUUGUUCCAACUUCACCUGGAUUGUGUCCUGAUCUCUGCAUUGCAAGACAAGACAGUCCCGAAGCCUGAAA